rnacentral:rRNA from 1 species
GUGCCAGCCGCCGCGGUAAUACGGAGGAUGCGAGCGUUAUCCGGAUUUAUUGGGUUUAAAGGGUGCGUAGGCGGAUUAUUAAGUCAGCGGUGAAAGCGUGUGGCUCAACCAUACAAUUGCCGUUGAUACUGGUAGUCUUGAGUGUAAACGAGGUAGGCGGAAUGUGAUGUGUAGCGGUGAAAUGCUUAGAUAUGUCACAGAACUCCGAUUGCGAAGGCAGCUUACCAGGAUACGACUGACGCUGAGGCACGAAAGCGUGGGUAUCAAACAGGAUUAGAUACCCUGGUAGUCCACGCAGUAAACGAUGAAUACUAGCUGUUGGCGAUAUAUUGUCAGCGGUAAAGCGAAAGUGUUAAGUAUUCCACCUGGGGAGUACGCCGGCAACGGUGAAACUCAAAGGAAUUGACGG